CGGUGCAGGAUGGGCCCGCGGCCUAUCAGCUUGUUGGUGGGGUAAUGGCCUACCAAGGCGACGACGGGUAGCCGACCUGAGAGGGUGACCGGCCACACUGGGACUGAGACACGGCCCAGACUCCUACGGGAGGCAGCAGUGGGGAAUAUUGCACAAUGGGCGAAAGCCUGAUGCAGCGACGCCGCGUGAGGGAUGACGGCCUUCGGGUUGUAAACCUCUUUCAGCAGGGACGAAGCGCAAGUGACGGUACCUGCAGAAGAAGCACCGGCUAACUACGUGCCAGCAGCCGCGGUAAUACGUAGGGUGCAAGCGUUGUCCGGAAUUACUGGGCGUAAAGAGUUCGUAGGCGGUUUGUCGCGUCGUUUGUGAAAACCAGCAGCUCAACUGCUGGCUUGCAGGCGAUACGGGCAGACUUGAGUACUGCAGGGGAGACUGGAAUUCCUGGUGUAGCGGUGAAAUGCGCAGAUAUCAGGAGGAACACCGGUGGCGAAGGCGGGUCUCUGGGCAGUAACUGACGCUGAGGAACGAAAGCGUGGGUAGCGAACAGGAUUAGAUACCCUGGUAGUCCACGCCGUAAACGGUGGGCGCUAGGUGUGGGUUCCUUCCACGGAAUCCGUGCCGUAGCU
rnacentral:rRNA from 1 species